UAAUAGCAUAUAUUAAAGUUGUUGCAGUUAAAAAGCUCGUAGUUAAUAGAUGGGGGGCGGAAGGCGCAAGCAGUCCCCUCCCGGGGGUACGCAAGUACCGAUUUACUUUGAGAAAAUUAGAGUGUUCAAAGCAAACCAAGUGUUUGAAUCCCAUCAGCAUGGAAUAAUAGUAGACGACGCUGUCUAUCCGUUGGUCGAUAAGCAGCGUAAUGUAUUAUAGGAACGGUUGGGGGCAUUAGUAUUUUAUGACGAGCGGUGAAAUGCGUGGAACCAUGAAAGACUAACACCUGCGAAAGCGUCUGCCCAGGACGUCUNCUUUAA
rnacentral:rRNA from 1 species